rnacentral:rRNA from 1 species
UAACAAGGUUUCCGUAGGUGAACCUGCGGAAGGAUCAUUAAUUG